AUUGAAACACAGAUUCCCGUACGAUCACUGUAGUUAAACAAUGUCGAGUCUAGUCAGUACCUAGAUGGGUGACCGCUUGAGAAUUCCAGGUGCCGUAAG
rnacentral:rRNA from 1 species